GAGCAAUAUUGCCGAUCCAGGAGACAGUGACCGCCCUUCCUUUCCGGCAGCGCAGCCCGGGGGCCCGAGACCCGGCAGCCUUGGCGUCGCUCUCCGGGAGGGGGUGGCACCUGCGACUCCAGCCUCCCGCAACCCGACUUUUCCUGCUGGGCUGGGCCUGCGCGCAGGUGCGGGGCUCUGAGCCCCGCCCCGAGGAGGAGAGAGCCCGCCCCCCGCGCCCCCAGCGGCCCAGCCUCCGCGCCGCGUCGGUCGCGCCCGCCAGGCGUGCUGUCCCCACGUCCGCGUCUGUGGGUCUGUCCGAUCGCGCCACGAUCGGGGUUUGGGGCCACAAAGGGGGUUUUGGUACCCGGCCGCGUAGACGCAGCCCCGGCCUCGGCAUGAAGUCUCGCAGGGACAAGCUGCACAUCCCGGCGCUGACCCUCGAUCUGUCUCUGAGCAGCCAGAGCCCAUCUUUGCUGAGCCCCAGCAGCCCCUGCAGCCCCUGCAGCCCCUCGCUGGGCCUGCACCCCUGGAGGUAAGUGACAGCACAUGGGGGCAGGGCUCGGACGUUGCCCUGGCACCCUAGAGCCUUGGAAGCCACCUAGACCCAGCCUCCUCACCAAGGUACUGUGAGCUGGUGACAUCACCUCUCUGGGACUCAGUUUACCCUCCAUAAAAUGAAACUGCUAUCCACACUAGGGCCUUGAUAGGGAAAUUCCAUUUUCAGCCCUAGCCAACAAGUCCUCCAUCCGACAGGUGGCUAAGAUGAGGCGAGAACUUGAGCUGUUGCCCAAGGACAUCCUUGAGACAGGUGCUGGGUUCCCAGCCUGCUCUGGGCCCUCCCUACUGAACCAGCCUGGCCUUCCAGGCUAGGACCUCAGGGGCCCUCCCCACACCCAGCUCAGCUGGUCAGAAAGCUCCUCCCUCUGAAUGUAUAACACACACACACACACACACACACACACACACCCAAGGCGGAGAGUUCACCAAGACAGCCCCAUGCACUGAACCCGGCAAAGUGGUGUAGGGAGGAAAGAACCAGUCUGACUGAGUGCCAGCUCUGUACCACAUACCUUCUGUUUCCUCCACAACCCCCGGAGGGAGGUGCCCUUCCUGACCCCGUUUCUUAGCUGGGGAAACCGAGGCUCUGAGAGGAGACACCUGUUCUCCUGGUUCGGUAUGUCUGGAGAUUAAGCAUCAGGGCCAGCUUGGCUGCCAGAGUCUUUUGAGGGUUUGAGCCACCCUCUGUGACCGGCACAUCGCAGGGUCUUGCCCGCUGUACAGGAGGGAACAUCAAGGUUAUCAUGGGCUCUUCGCAGAGCUUGGGAAAAGUUCAGCGAAGUGACAGAUGUGUGAGUCAGUGAUGUCUAGAAUUCGAGAGCCCAUCAAUCAUUUAUACCUUAAUAUGAAUGAGCUGCUUAGAUUCUUUCCAUAGACCUUUAAUGGGGAGAACAGAGAAGAAUUUGGAGCCCACACUGGGUGCUGGGUAACAGACAGUUACCUUCAUUAAGUGGGCACAUACUGCAAGCCAGGUGCUAAGGGCAUAGCUGUGAACAAGACUGACACAGCCCCUCCUUCAAGGGGCUCUCAGUCAGCUCUCAGGAGGUGGGCAAUAAACAAGUGAAUGGACAAACA
ensembl:lncRNA